GACAGAGGGUGCGAACGUUGUUCGGAAUUACUGGGCGUAAAGCGCAUGUAGGCGGCAGCGCAAGUCGGGCGUGAAAUCCCACGGCUCAACCGUGGAAGUGCAUUGGAAACUGGCAGACUGGAGUCCCGGAGAGGAGGGUGGAAUUCCUGGUGUAGCGGUGAAAUGCGUAGAUAUCAGGAGGAACACCGGUGGCGAAGGCGGCCCUCUGGACGGUGACUGACGCUGAGACGCGAAAGCGUGGGGAGCAAACAGG
rnacentral:rRNA from 1 species